UACGUAGGGUGCAAGCGUUGUCCGGAAUUAUUGGGCGUAAAGAGCUCGUAGGCGGCUUGUCGCGUCGGCUGUGAAAACCUGGGGCUCAACCCCGGGCCUGCAGCCGAUACGGGCAAGCUAGAAUUCGGUAGGGGAGACUGGAAUUCCUGGUGUAGCGGUGAAAUGCGCAGAUAUCAGGAGGAACACCAGUGGCGAAGGCGACUACCUGGCCUGUUCUUGACGCUGAGGCGCGAAAGCUAGGGGAGCAAACGGG
rnacentral:rRNA from 1 species